GACGAACGCUGGCGGCGUGCUUAACACAUGCAAGUCGAACGGAAAGGCCCUGCUUUUGUGGGGUGCUCGAGUGGCGAACGGGUGAGUAACACGUGAGUAACCUGCCCUUGACUUUGGGAUAACUUCAGGAAACUGGGGCUAAUACCGGCUAGGAGUUCCUGCUGCUUGGUGGGGGCUGGAAAGUUUCGGCGGUUGGGGAUGGACUCGCGGCCUAUCAGCUUGUUGGUGGGGUAGUGGCUUACCAAGGCUUUGACAGGUAGCCGGCCUGGGAGGGUGACCGGCCACAUUGGAACUGAGAUACGGCCCAGACUCCAACGGGAGGCAGCAGAGGGGAAUAUUGCACAAUGGGCGGAAGCCUGAUGCAGCAACGCCGCGUGCGGGAUGACGGCCUUCGGGUUGUAAACCGCUGUCGCCUGUGACGAAGCGUGAGUGACGGUAAUGGGUAAAGAAGCACCGGCUAACUACGUG
rnacentral:rRNA from 1 species